rnacentral:rRNA from 1 species
CCUACGGGAGGCAGCAGUGGGGAAUAUUGCACAAUGGGGGAAACCCUGAUGCAGCGACGCCGCGUGAGUGAAGAAGUAUCUCGGUAUGUAAAGCUCUAUCAGCAGGGAAGAAAAUGACGGUAUCUAACGAAUAAGCACCGGCUAACUACGUGCCAGCAGCCGCGGUAAUACGUAGGGGGCAAGCGUUAUCCGGAUUUACUGGGUGUAAAGGGAGCGUAGACGGUGCAGCAAGUCUGAUGUGAAAGGUCGGGGCCCAACCCCGGGACUGCAUUGGAAACUGGUGAGCUGGAGUACAGGAGAGGUAAGCGGAAUUCCUAGUGUAGCGGUGAAAUGCGUAGAUAUGAGGAGGAACACCAGUGGCGAAGGCGGCUUACUGGACUAUAACUGACGUUGAGGCUCGAAAGCGUGGGGAGCAAACAGGAUUAGAUACCCGAGUAGUC